rnacentral:lncRNA from 1 species
GUUCAGUUUUUCUGUUUGUUUUCUUUUCAUAGAGAUGUGGCCUUGCAAAGCAGUGUAAUUUGGCCUUCUCUGCCAGAAUCCAGUUUGCCUCUGGCGAUUUGCUACAGUGGGCCUCUCUGGUGGACCCAGCCCCACACCUUUGAAACAGAGCUUGCAUGGCUACAAGGAAGCACAUGGCCACGAGGGCACCAUUUUCCAGACUAUAAAAUAAACAAUUCCUUUUCUCGGGGCCUCAUAGGACACCCAAACUCAGGAUGGAACAUUUUAAUCUGGGAGGAAACUAUUCCAGAACAGCAAGACAAGCACUUCAUCAGGUGAGCUAUCUCCCAGCCCCACAAUGUUUCUGUUGUACAGUGGUACAAAACGGUGCGUGUUUAAUGGGAGCCAUACCUCACAGUUUGCAUUUUGGUUUUUCACCAUGGUUUUUCAUCCUGUGCUGUGGAUAGUCAAAUGAGGCUUGGGGGUGGCAGCAAGCCACAGCUCCCAGUUAGCACAUGAUAACAAAGGGAGCCAAGUUGUAUUCUGCAGUGCGUUGUGUAGCUGAUGGAAUUGUCUUUACCUGGUCUUAAAAUAGGG